rnacentral:rRNA from 1 species
CAGUAGCCACGGGAAUACGAAGGGUGCAAGCGUUAAUCGGAAUUACUGGGCGUAAAGCGUGCGUAGGCGGUGAGUUAAGUCUGCUGUGAAAUCCCCGGGCUCAACCUGGGAAUGGCAGUGGAUACUGGCUCGCUAGAGUGUGUCAGAGGAUGGUGGAAUUCCCGGUGUAGCGGUGAAAUGCGUAGAGAUCGGGAGGAACAUCAGUGGCGAAGGCGACUAUCUGGGCCAACACUGACACUGAGGCACGAAAGCGUGGGGAGCAAACAGGAUUAGAUACCCCCGUAGUCCCUGUCUCUUAUAC